CAGGAGGCCGGCCAGCAGUGAGAGGUCCCGCAUCCACUGAGGUGAACAACAGUGCCGUGGGAUGUUAAUGUGGGUAAGUCUCAUCCAAUCCUUUGAAGGCCUGAAGAACAAAGAGUGAGGUUUCUGGAAGAAGAAAAUUUUACCUCAAGCCUGCAAUGUAGAAAUUCUGCUUGAGUUUCCCGCCUGCUGGCCUGCCCUGUGGAAUUCGGAGUCAAGAAGGAGUCUUGUAAGCAUUAACUGAGAUAGUAUAUGAAGAGUGCUUUUGCACCGAGUGAACCUUCAAUCAACUGUACUAGUUUGUAUGCCUGGAAGAGCUGCUAUAUGGGAUCAGAAAGAAAAAUAAGGUGCAUACGCCAGAAAAAAAAUACUUGCAUAUGAGUACUAGGAGAUGCAUGACAAUGUUCACGGCAGCAGUAUUCAUGGCAGUGAAAAAUGAAAAGAACUGAAAUGCCCAUUGAUAAAAACGUCUACUUAUUUGUGUCAUCUUUGCACAGUGGAAUUGUGCGAGUGGAAAUGAUUGAUCUACAGCUAGGAGAAGCAGCAGAGCUCAAUCUCAAAAACAUAACGUUGUGUGGAAAAAGCUAACCUCAGAACACUUUGCGGCUCUAUCUUAGCAAACCAGGAGAGAAAUUCUCCUGAUGGCCUUGAAGAAGCAAACAGCCACCUGGUUAAGCCCCUGUGGAUAGUGCCAAGUGGCAGGAAAGUGGGAGCCACCUCUAGGACCUGAGGAUUAAAGUCAGUAAGAGCUGGGACCUCACUCAUGCAGACUCGAGGACAUGAAUUCGACCAACAACUUGAAUGAGCUUGGAAGUGGAUUCUUCCCUAGUCCAGUCUUCAGAAAUUAAGAAUGUUCCCAAAGAAUGAUGGAGACAUUUCAAAAGGAUACGGAAGCCAGAUUGUGGGCGCUUCUACUGGCCAACUCUGGGACAUCGUGGACAUCAAAAUAAAUUUGUAAUAAUAAAGGAUUAUAGCCUAUUAGUUAAAUCAGAAAAAUCUGAUUUAACUAAAUGAGUAGGAGGAAAAGAAAGCUCUUCCUUAUAUUAGAAAGUCAAUUAAUAAAUGCAGAAAGGAAUGAAAAAAUUAGAAAAGCCACCAUUUGGCAACCAUGGCAGGCAGAAUGGGGAGUAUGCCUCCAGACAGUAAUUCCUUUCAAACUGGUUUAUAGGAACUCACUGAGCUUGCUGAUCGACCUCUGAGAGGCAAAGUUUCUGAAUUAUGAAGUACUGAUUAUAUAAACUUAGACAGAGACAUGCUUCAUUAUUUAAUAGGACUGUGUCAAAAGCCUACUAUUAGGAUGAUGUGUUGGGUGUGGAACAGGGUCUCUUCCUGCCAGGAACACUGGUGAUUUCACUCCGUGUUCAGGCUGAUCUUUGAAGUUGAAGACAAGCAGAAGAAUCCUUCUAAAAUUUAGCCAUGCCCAUAGGCUGGGAGGGACACUGCUCCAUUCAGAGGCAGCAAAGCACAUUACUGUAUCUCCUAUAGAGCUUUGAGCAGUCCAGUGUACAUGGAGAAACUUAGUAAAUGUUGUUGAAUUAGUGAAUGAACAAAUCAAUGGACCAAGUCAGGGGUAAGUCUUACAUUUGUCAUCUAGGUGAUUAAGAAAGGAAAAAGUAUCUGUUUCAAGAGGAUUACAAUCUAACUGUACUCCAAUAGUAAAAUUUACUCUUUUGGAAUCUGA
rnacentral:lncRNA from 1 species